AUCACUUGAUUAGGCGCGGAGUUUGCUGCUCCAGCCAUGUUGGACAAUUUGGACGAGUGGGAAAUAUUUCAGGAGCUGAGCAUCGAACUGAAGCAGAAUAUCAGGCUUGCGGUCGUACUUAGAGGCAGCGCAAUUUACGUGACGAAAGAUGACGAAGUUUUCGGCUUUGGCAUAAACGAAGAAGGAUUUCUGGGUACUGGCGACAUGAAAUCACGCACGGAGCACACAAAAAUUGAACAAUUGUGCGGCCAAAAUAUUCAAGGUUUGCAAUUCUCCAACCAUACGUUUUUUGCGCUCUCUGCCUCCGGCUCAGUUUUCGCCUGGGGAAGAAAUUUUCACGGCCAGCUAGGACUGGGUACGAAAGAAAACACCUUGAUCCCAACCAAAAUAAAAGGAAUUUUGGGAACAAAAAGGGUAGUGCAAGUAGCCUGCAGCUCUGCCCAUACUCUGGCUUUAACUUCAGAUAG